ACUUCCUCCUGACCUUUUUGAGUCUCUUCUUCCACCCGGCGGCAGCGGGCAGCGCAGGCGAGCAGACCAAGUCGCCUGCAGAGUGCAGACUGCAGAUACAGUCCGUGCUCUGACGGAGCAACAGGAGAAGCAGAGCGAGCCGAGGCGGAGUCGACAGGCGAGUGGUUCCACCGACCGUCUCCCCUGCCGCAAGCGAACGGGUGAGCGGGGCGCCGUGGAUCUGAUGUCCCUUUGAGAUUCUACUCUGCUUCUGUUCUCCCUACAGCUUGGUGCCUUAUCAUGGAGGAAGCGGGGAGGGGCUGCGGCUUGCUCAAGGUGGUUGUGACGCACGGCCGGAACCUAGCCGUCCGGGAUUUCACGUCCAGCGACCCCUACGUCAUCGUCCACGUUGCCGACAAGGUGAGUUCAAUUAAAAGAAGAGCGAAAUGAAGGAUUUAUGCUGCCUGCGCCUGAAUCGCUAGCAAAGAAACUAGUAUCAAUUAUGCUGACACAGCAAUAAUGUUAAUGUCUGUCUUGGGGUGCUGAUUUUGGAAAGUCAGCUUGAUCUACUGGUCCAGGUGGUUAUUCAUACUUAAAUAAAUUGUACCAAAUUAAGUGUCUUAAUUGUCAUUUCUUCUAGGAGUAGUAUAAUAUAUAACACCUGUCUGUCUCUUCCUUCGCUCCUUUCUUUUCUUGUACCAUGCAGACCACAAAAACAAAAGUUAUCAACAGUUGCCUCAAUCCAGUUUGGAAUGAAGAGAUGACAUUCUCCAUGAAAGAACCAGUAGGAAUAAUCAAAUUUGUAAGUUUCUAUGCCGACGAAUUCUACUCUCGUCAAAAAAGCAGGAUUCAGGACCUGUUUGGAUCAGUACACUAACUGUCCAUGAAUAUGGAUCAAUACACUAGCAUUGACAAUCUGAAAUCUGUGGUGAAUUUUCUUGUUCCUUUUUCUCAGUUUUCGGUCUCUCUGAAUUCAAUACAUUAACUGUC
rnacentral:lncRNA from 1 species